UGGUUGAUCCUGCCAGUAGUGUAUGCUUCUCCUAAGGACUAAGCCAUGCAUGCCUAGAAUAGAGGGGGUGAUCUCUCGAAUCUGCGAACGGCUCCGCAAACCGGUUGUAAUUCAUUGUACGUCUAGCCCGGCUCGGGCCUCGACCCUCCGGGGUCGGGUGCUGGAACCGGGCACCGCUUACAUGGAUAUCCCUGGUAAUUCUGGGGCUAAUACAUGGCACAAACACUGAACUGGCCCGGUCCCGGGGGCGUAGGCUUCGGCUGAAACCAUUAACCCGGGGUUCCCCGAGCCAGGGACGUGCGAGUCUCCCAACCAAGUUCGGCUUGGGGUCUCUUCUAACCUUCGGGACGGAACGCACGUCUGAACCUGCUCCCGUUUCGGCGGGACCGGGUCAGGGCACCGAGCUUUCUUCUGGCUGCAGGUUCAGGUUAACCCCUGGGUUUGCUGUUGGGGAUUGCAGAGUCCCUGUCCCGGGCAGGUGGGUACUGCGGCUUCCGACCUAUCAACUAGAAUGCGGUAAAAUGGGCUGCAAUGGUCGCAACGGGUACAGAGGAUUAGGGUUCGAUCCUGGAGAGUGGGCCUGAGAGAUCGCUCCUACUUCUAAGGAAGGCAGCAGGCGCGCAAAGUUCCCCUUGGGCUAUUGCCUGAGGGCGCUAGGGGACAUAUGAAAUGGCUAUCAAUUUUGGUGGCCAAUUCAAAUGGGUCUGUCGUAAACAGGCUCUCGAGUAACAAUUAGAGGA
rnacentral:rRNA from 1 species